rnacentral:rRNA from 1 species
UACGAAGGGGGCUAGCGUUGUUCGGAAUCACUGGGCGUAAAGCGCACGCAGGCGGAUUGAUAAGUCAGGGGUGAAAUCCCGGAGCUCAACUUCGGAAUUGCCUUUGAUACUGUCUAUCUUCGAGUUCGGAGAGGUUGGCGGAAUUCCUAGUGUAGAGGUGAAAUUCGUAGAUAUUAGGAAGAACACCAGUGGCGAAGGCGGCCAACUGGCCCGAUACUGACGCUCAUGUGCGAAAGC